rnacentral:rRNA from 1 species
UACGUAGGUGGCAAGCGUUGUCCGGAUUUACUGGGCGUAAAGAGCGCGCAGGCGGUCGUGCAAGUCGCGUGUGAAAGCCCCCGGCUCAACUGGGGAGGGUCACGCGAUACUGCUCGACUCGAAGGCAGGAGAGGGAAGUGGAAUUCCCGGUGUAGUGGUGAAAUGCGUAGAUAUCGGGAGGAACACCAGUGGCGAAGGCGACUUCCUGCCUGUUCUUGACGCUGAGGCGCGAAAGCUAGGGUAGCAAACGGGG